rnacentral:rRNA from 1 species
UGGGGAAUUUUGGACAAUGGGGGAAACCCUGAUCCAGCCAUCCCGCGUGUGCGAUGAAGGCCUUCGGGUUGUAAAGCACUUUUGGCAGGAAAGAAACGUCGCGGGUUAAUACCCCGCGAAACUGACGGUACCUGCAGAAUAAGCACCGGCUAACUACGUGCCAGCAGCCGCGGCAAUACGUAGGGUGCAAGCGUUAAUCGGAAUUACUGGGCGUAAAGCGUGCGCAGGCGGUUCGGAAAGAAAGAUGUGAAAUCCCAGAGCUUAACUUUGGAACUGCAUUUUUAACUACCGGGCUAGAGUGUGUCAGAGGGAGGUGGAAUUCCGCGUGUAGCAGUGAAAUGCGUAGAUAUGCGGAGGAACACCGAUGGCGAAGGCAGCCUCCUGGGAUAACACUGACGCUCAUGCACGAAAGCGUGGGGAGCAAACAGGAUUAGAUACCCUGGUAGUCCACGCCCUAAACGAUGUCAACUAGCUGUUGGGGCCUUCGGGCCUUGGUAGCGCAGCUAACGCGUGAAGUUGAUCGCCCUGGGGAGUACGGUCGCAAGAUUAAAA